rnacentral:tRNA from 1 species
GGGGGUGUGGCUCAGUGGUGGGGCACUUGGCUGGCACGUAGGAGGCCUGGGUUCGAUCUCUAGCACCACAG